rnacentral:rRNA from 1 species
UAAAAUUAAAGGGCCGCAGAAUUUUAACUGUGCAAAGGUAGCAUAAUAAUUAGUUUUUUGAUUGAAAACUGGAAUGAAGGGUUGGACAAAGAAAUUGCUAUCUAAUUUUUAAUUGUUGAAUUUAACUUUUAAGUGAAAAGGCUUAAAUAUACCAGGGGGACGAUAAGACCCUAUAAAGCAUUUUAUUGGGGUGAUAAAAGUAAAAAUUUUUAACUGCUUUAGUUUAAAUACAAUAAUGUUUGGAAAGAUCCUUAUUAAAGAUUUAAAGGUUAAGUUACUUUAGGGAUAACAGCGUUAUUUUUUUUAAGAGUUCUUAUCGAAAAAAAAGAUUGCGACCUCGAUGUUGAAUUAAAUUUUCUUUAUAAUGUAGUAGUUAUAAGAGAGGGUCUGUUCGACCUUUAAAUUUUU